UUGGAGUAGGACGUCCUGGUCCAGGUCGCCUGAGGAGGGCGGCCGAGGGAAGCGUGCUUCUUGCGCGCUCGUGGAGCCCGCUUGCUGCGCGAGCCGAACCGAUGCGACACCGAGGAAACACUUGAACACCAACAGGGGCAGAUCAUCUGCCAGAACGCAGCCACCGUGGAGGGUAGGGGUCCUUGGCAGGAGAUGUAGGAGAGUUCCUCAACUCCGGCUUGCAUGCGGAUGUAGCUGGCGUUGAUGUAGUCGUGCUUCUCUCCAAGGGUGACGCGAGUUUUGUCGUCUGUGGAUGGAAAAGAGGACACACAACCAGGGUUUACUGAAGCAGAUGAAAUCAUCUCAUAAAUCUUUCACAGACUCCUCACCGUUCCAUUUGGCCUUGGGCGUCACUGGCUGGUCAUCUCUGGAACAUAGGAAAGACACAAACAGAAGAGCUUUGACAGCGUCUUCUAAGGUCAUCCCUAAAGUGCACCUGCCGCAAACGUAGAGGAUCUUGUCAUUAGGUUGGACGCUGCCCUCUUCGCUGGCCGGGGAGCCUGGCACUACCUCCAGACAGUAAAUGCCCUGCCAUUUGCUGCCAAUGCCACCGCACACUGGCGGUGAGCUGGGUGACGUGGGAGAAGCAGGCGAGGCUGGCGAGAUUGGCGUCGGAGGAGACGUGGGAUAGCCGGAAUCUUGGAGCUGCAGGAGAGUCUGGGCUUUUCUCUGCUGUGUCAUUCAGCUCCUCCUCGAGGGUGGUUGCCGUAUUCUGAGCAGGUCCAUCUGGCACAAUGGAAGCAAUGAAUAUACCAAGGUCGAGUUUACCUGUAUUGUCCUCGCCUACAAUCACAAAGCCUGCCACGGGACCAUAGCGGAUGCAGAGACAAAAGUCCUCAUUUAAACAAUUAGUAGGGACGCUCUUUCAAACCCCUGAGUUCCCCAGUUUCCGGCGGCUCCUUGUUCAGUUCCCUGCUCAUCUCCCGCCUCAUCUCUCUCUGAUGGCGGAGUCGAGCCUCCAGCUUGACGCUCAGAUCCUCGCAAGAUUUGGACAGCAGAUCCGGUUGACCCGGGGCUAAACCGACAUGGUUCAGCAUGCCCUCAGAGCAUGACAUCCGCUUCAGGCUGAUGGAGGACUCGCUAAAGGUGAUGGAAGGACUGUGAGACCUGCCCGAUGUCUUGGGAGAGACGUCGUGGUGGGGGCUCCGGCCGAGCCAACUGCAGGUGCUGUCCCUGUGACGAGCCCCUCGCGGGAGCCUGAAUUACAGGAGGGGAGAGAUAAAUAACAUUGUCAUCAGUGGACCACAUGAACAUACCUGACUUUGAGUCUGAGUCGAUCGAGUAUCUUCUCCUUUCUGGACAACCUUCACUGAAGUCUGCAAAUGGCCCUCGCCUUCCUGUCAAGCAGAUUCGCCCCUGAUCCAAUUCCGGCAGAGACUCACCAUGAAGCCUUUCUCUGAUCAUCUGGCUCCGCCCACUUAGAGGCAAGUUACUGUCAGAGGCAUGGUCUAUCUGUGGGAACAAGGACCUGUGAAAAACAGGCACUGCGAACCCCCCCAAAAAGGUCCACGUGUGCACUCACCGGUUCACUGAAGACUUCCUCUACCAGCUGCCUGAUGACGUCGGCAGAUGGCGGCAGGCCGGAGGCUUUCUGACGACACUCGCAGGCUUCCAGGAUGGAGGUGAUGGUUACCCUGCGAUGGGACACGUCCUCACACAUGCUGAGGAGGAGGCUGUUGAGAUGGUCGCUCAACUGGACUGGCUGAGAUGGCACGUUAAAAAUAAAAUAUGUUAUGAUUGUA